ensembl:lncRNA
UAGGAGACACCCUGGCAGUCGUCCAUUGCACCUGGAGGAGCCCGUGGGUGCCCAGCACGUCCUCAGUGGGUUCCCGAGGACAGAGGCCAAGGCCGGGAGGGAGUGGGCCAGGUGCCGCCGCGAGGCUGGACAGGGCGUGCGUGCCUGCUGAGCUCCGCAGGUGCCAUCUUGGAGAGCGAGGGGCGAGAAGCCUUCAACAACCCGCCGUGACCCCAAAGAGGGCGCGAUUUCCCGGAAGUUCCAUCCUACUCCGGGAUUGUGUCUUAGAACCGGAAGGAAAGGAGUCACCUUAAUCGACAGCUGUACUUCCGAACUCCCCUGAGAGUGGGGGCUUCAGCGCCACAUUACGCCAAUUAUAUGGAAAAGGAAGGAGCCACAUUUUCACUAAGCAGUUACAUCCAGCAAAAAAGUGAAUUCUCUCGUAUGUUUUUGUAACGUGGCUUCUUGGAAAUAGGAGUUUUGUUUGGACCUGUUAGUGGAUGUCACUUUGAUCCUGAUUUGGAGAAUCAAUCAAGAGGACUUUCUGGAGUAGCCUGUUGUGAAAUGAAGAACCUAAUAGGAAAAGUGGUUAUUCUGCCAUGAGAGAGCUCAGCUCAUGGUCUUGCUGGAUUGCUGCUCAUGAGGCAGUGCAGAAUGUUCCCUGUUUUUUCAUGUUGGCAAAGGAAAUUACACCAGUGCAGUGAUUGUCAGAAUGAUGCAACACCUCUGAGGAAAGUAAUUGCUGCCUUCUUAAAGAUAGGUUGGGGUGAACCAUGCCAAAUGUUGAGUGGGAUUUAUUGAAUAAUCUACAAGCAAUGCAAGAAUUCCGUGCAUUUCAGUUGUGAGGAAACAAAAGUGUUGAUAAGAAAAGAACAAAAAUGCAAAUGGGAAAAUAAUCUUUAUUUUCCAAGUCCUUUCAUGAUGCCAAUAGAUGAAGUCUAAAAGGAAGAGAAAAUUCCUAAAAAAUCAUUGAAUUUACUAUCAGGAAAGUGUUAUUAAUUUAAGUGAGGCAGGAAAAAUCACAAUAAGUGUGAGACGAGCACUGUGGAAAGAGGCUUUAUAAGAAGUCCAACCAGAGAAGAGGCGGAGGAGAGGCGUCAUGAUAUAGUGGCUUAAGUACUGCAACUGAAGCUGAGAAACUGGGAUUCUGCCAAUGACUGUUUGUGUUACUAUAUUAGUCAGGGUUCUCUGAUUCUGGGAAACAGAAUUAAUAGGAUAUAUAUACAUAUAUCUAGAAAGAUAUGUAUUAUAAGGUAUUGGCUUACAUGAUUAUGGUGGAUGAGAAGUCCCACGAUUUGCCAUCUGCAAGCAGGACAUCCAGGGAAGCCAGUGGUGUAGUAGAAGGCCUCAGAGCUGGAGAGCUGAUGGUGUAGAUUCCAGUCCGAGUCAGAAAGCUUGAGAACCAGGAGCACUGAGGGCAGGAGAAGAUCCAUGUCCUAGCUCAGCAGUCAGGCACAGAGCAAAUUCAACCUUCCUCUGCAUUUUGCUCUAAUCAGACCACCAGCAUUGGAGAGGGCCAUCUGCUUUACUCAGUCCACCAGUUCAAAUGCUAAUCUCUUUUCUAGAAACGUCCUGACAGACAUAUUCAGAAAUAAUGUUUAACUAGCUGUCUGGGCAUCCCAUGGCUCAGUCAAGUUGACACAUAAAAUUAAC